CCUACGGGUGGCAGCAGUGGGGAAUAUUGCACAAUGGGGGAAACCCUGAUGCAGCGACGCCGCGUGAGUGAUGAAGUCUUUCGGUAUGUAAAGCUCUAUCAGCAAGGGAGAAAAUUACGGUACGUGAUUACGAAGCCCCGGCUAACUACGGUCCAGCAGCCGCGGUACUGCGUAGGGAGCCAGCGUUAUCCGGAUUUACUGGGUGUAAAGGGAGCGUAGACGGAAGCGCAAGUCUGAAGUGAAAUGCCGGGGCUUAACCCCGGAACUGCUUUGGAAACUGUGCAGCUAGAGUGCAGGAGAGGUAAGUGGAAUUCCUAGUGUAGCGGUGAAAUGCGUAGAUAUUAGGAGGAACACCAGUUGCGAAGGCGGCUUACUGGACUGUAACUGACGUUGAGGCUCGAAAGUGUGGGGAGCAAACAGGAUUAGAUACCCUAGUAGUC
rnacentral:rRNA from 1 species